ensembl:misc_RNA 7SK 7SK RNA
GUGAGUGCGAUCUGGCUGCGACAUCUGUCACCCCAUUGAUCGCCAGAGUUGAUUAGGCUGAUCUGGCUGGCUAGGCAGGUGUUCCCUUCCUUCCUCACCGCUCCAUGUGCGUCCCUCCAGAAGCUGAGCGCUUGGUGAAAGAGGACGGCCUUCCCCGAAUAGAGACGGACCGGGUAUACGAGUAUAUGCGCUCCUCUGCUAGAACCGCCAAACAAGCUCUCUCUUAACACUUUCUUAACCUGAAAAGUAUUCUCCAGAUAGCAGUCUCUGGAAUUUUUAAUCCAGAAUCAGAAUCCAUUAGGUAGCUUAAAAUAAUUUUCCAG